GGCUCAGGAUGAACGCUAGCGACAGGCCUAACACAUGCAAGUCGAGGGCAGCGCGGGAAAGCUUGCUUUCNGGCGGCGACCGGCGCACGGGUGACGUAACAGGUGUGCAAUCUGUCCAUAAUCGGGGAAUAGCCCAGCGAAAGUUGGAUUAAUUCCCCAUAAUACUUUGGGAGGCAUCUCCUGAAGUUGAAAGUUCCGGCGGUUUAGGAUGGACAUGCGUUGUAUUAGAUAGUUGGUGAGGUAACGGCUCACCAAGUCGACGAUACAUAGGGGGACUGAGAGGUUAACCCCCCACAUUGGUACUGAGACACGGACCAAACUCCUACGGGAGGCAGCAGUGAGGAAUAUUGGUCAAUGGACGCAAGUCUGAACCAGCCAUGCCGCGUGCAGGAUGACGGCUCUACGAGUUGUAAACUGCUUUUGUAUGAGGGUAAACUUAGAUACGUGUAUCUAACUGAAAGUAUCAUACGAAUAAGGAUCGGCUAACUCCGUG
rnacentral:rRNA from 1 species